AGUGCUUUCCUGCGGACGUGCGCUGCUGCCCAGCCUCAGGCUCCAGUCCUGCGCUGGCUGCUGCUGGCUGUCGUCAGCGAUGCCGCCGCCGGCCACAAGGUGGCAGUGCCGUGCUGCGUGGCUACACGCCCCUGGAAGCACCGGACCAGCCUUGGUCUGGCAAAAGUUUUCCAGUCUUUCCAGCAGAUGCGCCCAGGCCGUGAGCCCUCCCGGGCGGCCUGGAGGCAAGGGAUCGGGUGGGGGUGGGGUAGCCGCCGAUGUCCUGGGUGGCUUUGGGGGCGAUUUGCAAAGGCAUGCAUUUGUUGUUAAGAGCUCGGAGAAACAGUUUGGGGGAGCCUGUCACAGAUGCAAAGUCUGUUGAUAUUUCCAGGAGUGUUUGGUUUGGUUUGGGCUUUAGGGACCUACAGCAAGCAUCGAUUCUCGUGGAGGCGAACAACACUGACAGCUACUCUUUGUCUCUCGUCGGGAUUCUGAACAGAGCCCGACGUCGCUUCCAUUUCAGAGAUAUAUGCCGCUGACACUACCUUGAGAGAGCUCCUGCCUCCAUGGUUCCUGACCUGCCUAGAAGGGGAGGGCGCAGGAGACUCUUGUUCUACAGCUGUCCUCGGGAUGCCCUCAAUUCCCAGGCGCAGGGAUAAGCUUGUCUGACCCCAUUUGACCCCGCCGCAGGCGCCAGGCGUCCUCAUUUAUUGCGAGGCCUAAGAGUCCUCAAGGCUUACUGCCUGCCUACCCCCCUCCCCCACCACCCGCCGCUCUUCGUUUUUUGGUGUUUUGUUUUGUUUUGUUUUGUUUUUCCUCUCCUUGUCCUGUGCGGGAAUCAUAUGCCUCCUUCCUGUUGUCUAAGCUCCCCUCUUCCGUAGGCACAAACCUGCCCCCUCUGCGUUUUUUACCUUAAAACAGGUGUUCUGAGGAUUGUCUCUAGUUCUGGCGACGUCUUGAAAGAACUGAGUCUGAGCGAGGCAGACAGACGGCAGCAUUAGUGGUGAUGGAGCUGCACUGCUAAAUGUGGAGAUGGGAGGGGAAACACACCUGGGCUUCCACAGGGCAGGAGAAGAUCUGUCACUUGGGCAGAGCCUUUGAGUCGCACUCAGGUGAUCUCCAGGUCUACACUCUCCCACCUGUGCUCCGAGGAGAGGUGUAGACUAUCUCUUGGAUUUUGCUUGGAGGAUGUCCUUUCCGGACUCAGGACCUAGGAGAGACCAGCAGGAAACAGAACAGAGUCUACAUAGGUGAAUAUCAAAGAAUCACCUGGAGAGAUUUACAGACAACAGACUGGGACAAAAGGCCUGAGUCACAGACCAGUGAUUGGCAAAACAGAGAAGCUGAAGCAACUGUACAGCAAGCAGGAGCUCACACACGGGAGCCUACCUCUGGGAAUGCCGAGAAGUCAAUGCAAUGGUCACAUCUCAGGUUGUCUGGACACACAGACGGUUCACAAAUCCCGGGAUGGACCAGGAAGGCCAUUCAGUGAGAUUGUGUUGAACUGGGGAGUGGUGACAGUAAACAUUGACAUUAUGGUCCUACAUACAUAUCAUACGUUCCAUUAGUGUCCUACAUAAGUUAUAACCUGCUUACUCCUCCCAGUGCCCUUGAGAGAUCAGCCUGCUAAUUCCCACUCCAGAGUCAGGGAAGCUAAGUGCUGGGGACUCAGGAAACUUGACUGCGUUUAUAGCCAGUGAGUGGCAAAGCUGAUGUUUGAAUCCGUGUUUCGUGUUUCAGAGUCUUGGGAAGCUACGGUUUUUGUCCAUGUGUCCCCUGCUUCACUGUGUUUCAGGGGCUGAGUUGCUACACCACCCUAGAUGGUGGGCUGAGGGGCCUCUUCUGAUGAACUCCCUUCAGAAUGCAUUCCCUUCACAUCUGUUACCUCUUGCGGUGUGGGUCGCUGCUCUGUGGAAGUUGGACAGAACCCUUGGAACCUCCCGUGUGAUUCUGAAGUCUAGUGCAAACUCCAGUCAGUAAACUAAGAGAAACCAUUUUUAGUCAAAGGAAGCAAGGAACACUCCAACCAGCCCAGACUGACUUUCUUCUGUGGUUAAAAAUCUGGAUCUCCAUGUAAUUGCAACUGGGAAGAUCCUGCUGGAAGAUGUGCCAAGGUAGCCCCACAUGUUCCAAAGGGAUCGAAACUCAUUUGGAAGGGUAUGUUCUGAGAGAGAGAGAGAGAGAGAGAGAGAGAGAGAGAGAGAGAGAGAAGAAGAAGAAGAAGAAGAAGAAGAAGAAGAAGAAGAAGAAGAAGAAGAAGAAGAAGAAGAAGAAGAAGGAAGAACAACAAGAACAACAAGGAAGAAGAAGGAGAAGAAGGAGAAGGAGGAGAAGAAGGAGGAGGAGGAGGAGGAGGAAGAAGGAGAAGAGAGAGAAUUUCUUCUACUACUUCUUUAUAUUUAUGUAUUUAUUCUCUUUUGCACUUAGUGUGUAACUUGGUGCCUUACAUAAACCAUGGAAUAAUUAGGCUUUCUUCAGGAUGUAAGGAAAUUCCCUACAUCAGAGGACCUUACUAUCCAAGCUAAGGUAAGAAUGAAGUCCCAGCCGCAAGGGUGAUGGAAGGGAGACGAUGAAGAUAACAUAUGGUGGGAACAUCUCCAGGGAUGAUGGGAGAUACGGCUACAAAUGCUGCAUCCUAGGAGGAUGAAUUCUUUUCCUGUCUGCCAGUGAUCUCAGUUUUGUCAAUCAUUUCCAUGUACCCUCCCACUUCCUACAACUGCACUUAAGCCUUAGAAGAAAUAGGACAGGCAGUCUGGACAACGAGUGACACCAGGGAGUCCCUAGGUGUGUAUUUCCUUGUAUGUCUCUGUAAGUGUGGUCCCCAGCAUCCUAAUGGUUUGAUUUUGGCAGUAACUGGCUUUCUUAGGCACACCACCACUGUCGUUGUGGCAUGCUCACUAAACAUGGACUCCCUGUUCUUUGCUAAUCAAAUCUACCUGUAUACUCAGAAAUGCCACGAGUAGUCUAAGGCAGGCAUUGGCUAUGCCUACCUGUCACCUCUUUGGGAAAAAUAAAGUUUUAUUAGAACACA